rnacentral:lncRNA from 1 species
UUUGGUCUCAAACUUUUGUACUUGAAGUUUUCCUCACGCAGUUCAAAUUUUGAGAGAAAUUUCAGCACAAAAGAUCAGCCUUCGCGCGACACCCGGGAACGCCAUGUGCACAGAGCGUGGUCACCGUGCCGCGGCGAGUUCGCCGGUGCCACGUGGCGCAGCCCCUCGGGCUUCUCCAUUUCACCCAACCGCCAGGCAAUGAGCGAUAGCACAAGCGCCAUAGCUGACCAACCGCGCGCGCUAUCCUCUCC